GUCUACGGCCAUGCUACUCUGAACAAGCCCAAUCCUGUCUGAUCUUGGAAGCUAAGCAGGGUUGGGCCUGAUUAGUACUUGGAUGGGAGACCACCUAGGAAGACCAGGUGCCGUAGGCA
rnacentral:rRNA from 1 species